rnacentral:rRNA from 1 species
UGCAUAUCAAUAAGCGGAGGAAAAGAAACCAACAGGGAUUGCCUUAGUAACACGGCGAGUGAGCGGCAAAGCUCAAAUUUGAAAUCUGGCACCUUCGGUGUCCGAGUUGUAAUUUGAAGAAGGUAACUUUGGAGUUAGCUCUUGUCUAUGUUCCUUGGAACAGGACGUCACAGAGGGUGAGAAUCCCGUGCGAUGAGAUGUCUAACUCUAUGUAAAGUGCUUUCGAAGAGUCGAGUUGUUUGGGAAUGCAGCUCUAAGUGGGUGGUAAAUUCCAUCUAAAGCUAAAUAUUGGCGAGAGACCGAUAGCGAACAAGUACAGUGAUGGAAAGAUGAAAAGAACUUUGAAAAGAGAGUGAAAAAGUACGUGAAAUUGUUGAAAGGGAAGGGUUUGAGAUCAGACUUGGUAUUUUGUAUGUCUUGCUUUCGGGUGGGGCCUCUGCAGUUUACUGGGCCAGCAUCGGUUUGGAUGGUAGGAUAAUGACAUUGGAAUGUGGCACUACUUCGGUGGUGUGUUAUAGACUUUGUUGAUACUGCCUGUCUAGACCGAGGACUGCGUCUUUGACUAGGAUGCUGGCAUAAUGAUCCUAAACCGCCCGUCUUGAACCACGGACCA